GCAGUCUCUCAGUUACACGCAGUAAUACGACAUUUAGCAGUUACGACUCUCAGUUACGUAGAUUUCACGGAAGUUCGGCUGUAUUUUUUGUUGGCUAGUUUGAGUAGUUUCCAUAUUCCAAUUUCUAAACUUCGUAUACUCAGCGGACUCUAACAACAGUAUUCAACGAUGUUCUCAAUGUUUUAUCUGCUUGUGCUGCCUGUCUCUAACAUGUGGUUAUAACAAAGCAGUCAAGUGAAGGAAAUGUUUUAACCUUUACAGGAUUACCAAACGACAUUUGUGCAAGAAGCAGUCCAGGAACUAGGUGCACUAUGUCCUCCAAACUUCCAGUACAAGAAGCAGUCGUGCUGGAUUUCAAAUUUUCACUAUGAGUGCUUUGAGAAAUGCUGACUCAAAUACAACAACAAGGUAAUGUCUGGAUCUCAAAAGUUACGAUGUGAUUGUUGAAAUUGAUUUUAUUGUUCGUGGAGCACCAGAGAAAGAGAAAUCUAGCAUCCAGCAUCAGCUACACCAACCCUAAUUACUGAAGCUGGACUGCUGUACAUUUUGUUUCACCCAAAGAGUAAUUUAGUAAUAGUAAAUUUCCAAUCUCAUAUGGACCAACACUGCUGUAGUUCUUCACCUGGCAACAAAGUGUCACUGAAGUAAAAAGGUAGAGAGAAGAUGUCGAUUGUCGACGUGAGUGACUAUAACCAUGCUAUAACUGCGGGACUGUUGACAGGUAACCCAGUUUUUGCCCAUAUGUUCCAGCAUUUGAGGAAAUUGGAGACUAAUCACUUGUGCUUAAGUUUUCAAUGCCUACUUUGCUCACUACCUGGUGUAAAACAAAAUAACAGAUCCUCAGUUACCUCAGCACUUGGUUUAUGUUAAAGUUAACCGAAGCUGAACGAAACUUUUGUUUGCUGCGUGUACGUAAUUUGCUUUAACGGUGUCAUUAAUUUCUUCUUGCUCUUAUAGGAUUUCCAUAGGCAUGUCGAAGUCGAUGACCACGAAAGCGCUUCACGCUCAAGGUCACCACAUUAAAUUGUGUUUCCAUAUUCUGAAUGCAGUUCUUGUCCGUCGGUGUCGUGUUUCCGUGGACCAAGUAAUCGAAUUUUUUUACUUUUUGGGUAGAUGUAGUUAUAGAUUUCUAUCUGCGUAUUGAACUUAUGGUGAUCCAAUCCAUCCCGAGCUGUUCCGGCCAUUGAAUUUUCGCAAGAUGGAAGAAUUCAAUACUCUUCUAAAACAGAACCGAGAAUCCAGGAAUAUUUUAUCUCUUCCAUAAUUAAAAUAUUUAUGGUCGUACUUUGAUCGAAUUGAAUUUUUUAUUAAAUUAUAAGUUUAGAUACAGAUA